UUUCCGUAGGUGAACCUGCGGAAGGAUCAUUCAUAAUAAGUGUUUUAUGGCACUUUUUAAAUCCAUAUCCACCUUGUGUGCAAUGUAAGUCGUUUUCUUCAUGGAAACGACCAAACAUCAACUUAUUUUUUAACUGUUUGUCUGAAAAAUAUUAUGAAUAAAUAAUUCAAAAUACAACUUUCAACAACGGAUCUCUUGGCUCUC
rnacentral:misc_RNA from 1 species